rnacentral:rRNA from 1 species
GGAGAGAGGGGGGGGGGUGGGUUGUGGAUUGGUAGGGUGCGGUGGUGUGCUGAGAUGACUGGGGGGAAAAAGCUCGUCGGGGGUGUGGUGGGUUGGUGGGGAGAUCUCACGGCUUAACUGGGGGCGGACUGGGGAGACGGGCAGACUGGAGUACUGCAAGGGAGACUGGAAGUCCUGGUGUAGCGGUGGAAUGCGCAGAUAUCAGGAGGAACACCGGUGGCGAAGGCGGGUCUCUGGGCAGUAACUGACGCUGAGGAGCGAAAGCGUGGGGAGCGAACAGGAUUAGAUACCCGGGUAGUC